rnacentral:rRNA from 1 species
AUUGAACGCUGGCGGCAUGCCUUACACAUGCAAGUCGAACGGUAACGGGUCCUUCGGGAUGCCGACGAGUGGCGAACGGGUGAGUAAUAUAUCGGAACGUGCCCAGUAGUGGGGGAUAACUACUCGAAAGAGUAGCUAAUACCGCAUACGACCUGAGGGUGAAAGGGGGGGAUCGCAAGACCUCUCGCUAUUGGAGCGGCCGAUAUCAGGUUAGCUAGUUGGUGGGGUAAAGGGCUACCAAGGCUACGAUCUGUAGUUGGUCUGAGGGGACGACCAGCCACACUGGGACUGAGACACGGCCCAGACUCCUACGGGAGGCAGCAGUGGGGAAUUUUGGACAAUGGGCGCAAGCCUGAUCCAGCAAUGCCGCGUGCAGGAAGAAGGCCUUCGGGUUGUAAACUGCUUUUGUCAGGGAAGAAAUCUUCUGGGCUAAUACCCCGGGAGGAUGACGGUACCUGAAGAAUAAGCACCGGCUAACUACGUGCCAGCCGCCGCCGUAAAAC